CCCGCCCAAACNCCNNCGGAAGCNNCCNUUGGGGAANNUUGCACAAUGGGCGCAAGCCUGAUGCAGCCAUGCCGCGUGUGUGAAGAAGGCCUUCGGGUUGUAAAGCACUUUCAGUAAGGAGGAAAGGUUGCAAGUUAAUAGCGUUGAGCUGUGACGGUACUUACAGAAGAAGCA
rnacentral:rRNA from 1 species